AGAGUUUGAUCCUGGCUCAGAUUGAACGCUGGCGGCACGCUUAACACAUGCAAGUCGAACGGGAAUUAAAGGUAGCUUGCUACUUUUAAGACUAGUGGCGGACGGGUGAGUAAAGCAUAGGAAUCUGCCUUUAGGAGGGGGAUAACUCGGGGAAACUCGAGCUAAUACCGCGUAAUGUCUACGGACCAAAGUGAGCCUCUGCUUGCAAGCACACACCUAGAGAUGAGCCUAUGUUGGAUUAGCUAGUUGGUAGGGUAAAGGCCUACCAAGGCAACGAUCCAUAGCUGGUUUGAGAGGAUGAUCAGCCACACUGGGACUGAGAUACGGCCCAGACUCCUACGGGAGGCAGCAGUGGGGAAUAUUGGACAAUGGGGGCAACCCUGAUCCAGCGAUGCCGCGUGUGUGAAGAAGGCCUUAGGGUUGUAAAGCACUUUCGGUUGUGAGGAAGAGGGUCGCGUUAAUAGCGCGGCAAGAUGACGUUAGCAACAAAAGAAGCACCGGCUAACUCCGUGCCAGCAGCCGCGGUAAUACGGAGGGUGCAAGCGUUAAUCGGAAUUACUGGGCAUAAAGGGCGCGUAGGCGGACUAUUAAGUUGGAUGUGAAAUCCCCGGGCUUAACCUGGGAACUGCAUCCAAGACUGGUAGACUAGAGUACAGUAGAGGUGAGUGGAAUUCCCGGUGUAGCGGUGAAAUGCGUAGAGAUCGGGAGGAACAUCAGUGGCGAAGGCGACUCACUGGAUCGAUACUGACGCUGAGGCGCGAAGGCGUGGGGAGCAAACAGGAUUAGAGACCCUGGUAGUCCACGCGGUAAACGAUGAGAACUAGCUGUUGGAGUGGGUAGACACUUGAGUGGCGAAGCUAACGCGUGAAGUUCUCCGCCUGGGGAGUACGGUCGCAAGAUUAAAACUCAAAGGAAUUGACGGGGGCCCGCACAAGCGGUGGAGCAUGUGGUUUAAUUCGAUGCAACGCGAAGAACCUUACCUAUCCUUGACAUCCUUCGAAGCUCUUGUAAUGAGAGUGUGCCUUCGGGAACGAAGUGACAGGUGCUGCACGGCUGUCGUCAGCUCGUGUCGUGAGAUGUUGGGUUAAGUCCCGUAACGAACGCAACCCCUAUCCUUAGUUGCCAUCAAGUGAUGUUGGGCACUCUAAGGAGACUGCCGGUGAUAAACCGGAGGAAGGUGGGGAUGAGGUCAAGUCAUCAUGGCCCUUAUGGAUAGGGCUACACACGUGCUACAAUGGCCGGUACAGAGGGACGCGAAGCCGCGAGGUGAAGCAAAACUCACAAAGCCGGUCGUAGUCCGGAUUGCAGUCUGCAACUCGACUGCAUGAAGUUGGAAUCGCUAGUAAUCGCGAAUCAGAAUGUCGCGGUGAAUACGUUCACGGGCCUUGUACACACCGCCCGUCACACCAUGGGAGUGGUUUGUACCAGAAGUAGGUAGGUUAUUUGGCCGCUUACCACGGUAUGGGUCAUGACUGGGGUGAAGUCGUAACAAGGUAACC
rnacentral:rRNA from 1 species